GACGAACGCUGGCGGCGUGCCUAAUACAUGCAAGUCGAGCGGACGGAUGGGAGCUUGCUCCCAGACCGUCAGCGGCGGACGGGUGAGUAACACGUGGGCAACCUGCCUGUAAGACUGGGAUAACUCCGGGAAACCGGGGCUAAUACCGGAUAACUCUUUCCCUCACAUGAGGGAAAGCUGAAAGAUGGCAUCUCGCUAUCACUUACAGAUGGGCCCGCGGGGCAUUAGCUAGUUGGUGAGGUAACGGCUCACCAAGGCGACGAUGCGUAGCCGACCUGAGAGGGUGAUCGGCCAGGCUGGGGCUGAGACACGGCCCAGACUCCUACGGGAGGCAGCAGUAGGGAAUCUUCCGCAAUGGACGAAAGUCUGACGGAGCAACGCCGCGUGAGUGAUGAAGGUUUUCGGAUCGUAAAACUCUGUUGUCAGGGAAGAACAAGUACCGGAGUAACUGCCGGUACCUUGACGGUACCUGAACAGAAAGCCACGGCUAACUACGUG
rnacentral:rRNA from 1 species